rnacentral:lncRNA from 1 species
GGUUAACACCUGAUACAAGCGAUGCUGAAAUUGGUUUAUUUAAUUACGAUAUCUACAGCAUCUAGCGAUGCUAAAAUUGGUUUAUUUAAUUACGAUAUCUACACACAAGACCUGACACAAGAAUCCAUUAAUUUCGACAGUGGAGGUGGUGUGUUAAUAGCUGUUAAACAAGUUUUAUCCCAUCAGAUGUUUCUGCUGGACAGGUGUUUGUUCAAAUGAACAACAAAAAUCAUAUUGACACCAAAUGAGGAUGCUGUAACGGUAGAUAGACUUUUUUAUAAAAAAUGAAUGCAUUGAGAA